rnacentral:rRNA from 1 species
GAUGAACGCUGGCGGCGUGCCUAAUACAUGCAAGUCGAGCGAACAGACGAGGAGCUUGCUCCUCUGACGUUAGCGGCGGACGGGUGAGUAACACGUGGAUAACCUACCUAUAAGACUGGGAUAACUUCGGGAAACCGGAGCUAAUACCGGAUAAUAUAUUGAACCGCAUGGUUCAAUAGUGAAAGACGGUUUUGCUGUCACUUAUAGAUGGAUCCGCGCCGCAUUAGCUAGUUGGUAAGGUAACGGCUUACCAAGGCGACGAUGCGUAGCCGACCUGAGAGGGUGAUCGGCCACACUGGAACUGAGACACGGUCCAGACUCCUACGGGAGGCAGCAGUAGGGAAUCUUCCGCAAUGGGCGAAAGCCUGACGGAGCAACGCCGCGUGAGUGAUGAAGGUCUUCGGAUCGUAAAACUCUGUCAUUAGGGAAGAACAAAUGUGUAAGUAACUAUGCACGUCUUGACGGUACCUAAUCAGAAAGCCACGGCUAACUACGU